rnacentral:rRNA from 1 species
AGCGAACGCUGGCGGCAGGCCUAACACAUGCAAGUCGAACGAACCUCCCGGGGGUAGUGGCUCACGGGCGAGUAGGACGUGGGAACGUGCCCUUAGGGCCCGCAUAACUCAGGGAAAUUUGUGCUAAUGCCGAAUAUGCCCUUCGUUCGAAAGAUUUAUCGUCCUUAGAGCGGCCGGCGUUUGAUUAGCUAGUUGGUUGAGGUAACGGCUCAGCAAGGAGAGGAUCUGUAGCUGGUCUGAGAGGAUGAUCAGCCACCUCGGGGCUGCGACACAGCCCAAAAUCCUACGGAAGGGAGGAGAGGGGAAUGUAGCGAAAUGGGGGGAGGCCUGACGCAGCCAUGCCGGGUAAAUGAUGCAGUUCUUAGGAAAGUAAAAUUCUUUGACAGGGGACGAUAAUGACGGUACCCGGAGAAGAAGCCCCGGCUAACUUCGUG